rnacentral:tmRNA from 1 species
GGGGAUGAUCGGUUUCGACAGGGGAUGUUGAAACAGGGGAAGCGAGCCGAGGAACGCGGCAAUGAUCUCGUUAACCACGUGUCGCAAAAAAAUAAUCGCCAACUCUAAGCGCGAUUCCCAGCAGUUCGCUCUCGCUGCCUAAUUAAGCACCGAUAGCGCUUGGGUGUCAGACCGGGGAGUUCCCGACCCGGACCCUGGCAUAAUCUAGGGAACUCAACCGUCCACCCGGGCUGCGGGGGUGGAGGGGAAAUCAAACAGCAGCUGGGCCUGUUGGCGGCUUGUCCGCGUGACUGCCAGGGCCGAGAAAAGCACAGCGGACUGCGCUCGGAGAAGCCCUGAAUUAACUCCACUGGACCCGGGUUCGAUUCCCGGCAUCUCCACCA